rnacentral:rRNA from 1 species
ACGCACGCUGGCGGCGUGCUUCACCCAUGCAAGUCGCACGGAAAGGCCCUGCUUGCAGGGUACUCGAGUGGCGAACGGGUGAGUAACACGUGGGUGAUCUGCCCUGCACUUCGGGAUAAGCUUGGGAAACUGGGUCUAAUACCGGAUAGGAGCCAUCUUUAGUGUGGUGGUUGGAAAGUUUUUUCGGUGUAGGAUGAGCUCGCGGCCUAUCAGCUUGUUGGUGGGGUAAUGGCCUACCAAGGCGGCGACGGGUAGCCGGCCUGAGAGGGUGUACGGCCACAUUGGGACUGAGAUACGGCCCAGACUCCUACGGGAGGCAGCAGUGGGGAAUAUUGCACAAUGGGCGCAAGCCUGAUGCAGCGACGCCGCGUGGGGGAUGAAGGCCUUCGGGUUGUAAACUCCUUUCGCUAGGGACGAAGCUUUUUUGUGACGGUACCUAGAUAAGAAGCACCGGCUAACUACGUG